CAGCAGCCGCGGGAAUACGUAGGGUGCAAGCGUUAAUCGGAAUUACUGGGCGUAAAGCGUGCGCAGGCGGUUCUAUAAGACAGAUGUGAAAUCCCCGGGCUCAACCUGGGAACUGCAUUUGUGACUGUAGAGCUCGAGUACGGCAGAGGGGGAUGGAAUUCCGCGUGUAGCAGUGAAAUGCGUAGAUAUGCGGAGGAACACCGAUGGCGAAGGCAAUCCCCUGGGCCUGUACUGACGCUCAUGCACGAAAGCGUGGGGAGCAAACAGGAUUAGAUACCCGCGUAGUCCCUGUCUCUUAUAC
rnacentral:rRNA from 1 species